UCCACCCGGCAUAUGACAGUAAGACCUUUGUAAAUGACAUUGCAAUUCUCAAAACGGAACAGCCAAUCCCUUUCGAUGUCAAGAACACUGUUUCGCCAAUCUGCCUUCCUGAAGACCCAAACAAUAAGUACGGCAACACUGAGGUCUCCGUCUGUGGAUGGGGACGAACGAUUGGAAGUGAUGGUAGCUCUAACUCACCUGUUCUUCUUCAUACUGUAAUGACAACAAUGACCAAUGUAAUGUGCAAUAAGAUGUUUUCUCCUACGUUUUUCAUUCCUGAUGAGAAAAUUUGUGCUCGUGCCUCUUGAAAAAGCCAAGGCUUGUCCUGUAGAGGAGACUCAGGAGGCCCACUAAUGUACCAGCAUGGAAGCCACAUGGAUCUGAUCGGAAUAGCUUCAUCGGGGCCAGAAGGAUGUUUAAGAGAAUUCCCAAAAUUGUUCACUCGAGUUACCAGUA